AGAAAGAUAGGAAAAGAGAGCAUGAGCGUGAGUGAGAGAGGCCCCCGGACUGGUGUAUGAACGCGGGCAGCCGGUGUGGCGGGCUGGCCUGGUUGGGACAAACGGAGGGGGGCCGAGGGAGGGGUAGGAGUAAAGUUCAUACUCUUCUAAGAGGAGAAUAAUGUGCCUAUUGUCUGGAGGCAACACAAUUCUCCUUUAUUCAAGCUGGCAAAGUAACCUGCAUGCAAACAAUCUCCUCCCUGCCCACUGCCCGAAAAAAAAUGAAAGAAGUAAAGAGUCUUCUACUUGCCACUGUCAUCUCAUUCUCUGAAAAAAAAAAACUCCUUCUGAUAAUGACAGCAAUAAUAAAGAUAAUAGCAGUGGCGAUGCAGAGCUAACGAGGGGUUCUCUAAUGAAGACGGCUCGCAGGGCUUCCAUAGAACUUUUAUCUCCCCGACCGCUCAUUUGGAUCGGCCAGCCACAAUAGCCCAUUGUGCAGCCCUCUCCGUCCACACAGACUCACAGACCACUUCAGCAGGGCUUGUUUUCUUUCUUUCUUUCUGUCCUCCCCUCUUUUAUCUUCCCCUCUCUCCUACUUUCACCUCUCUCGCUCGGCAGGAGCAACAGCCGAUGUCAAAGGUCGCUUGGCCUCGCUGACCACAACAAGCAAGUUAAUCUACCCCGGCGCGGACUCCAGCUUGUCCAAGAAAACACUCUAGUCCUUUUUUCCCCCCUCUCUCUCUCUCUCUCUCUCUCUCCCUCUCUAACUACGUGUCUCCCUCUCUCCCUCUCCCCCUCUCCCUCUCCUCUCUCCUCAGCGCUUUAAUUGCUUUGCGGAGUGUCAUAGCCGGGAAGCAGGGGGAGAGGUGCUGCACACACUUGCACCGGCUGCACCCAGCCAAAAGGCAGCACGUUCACUGGGCUCAGUGUAAACACGGGAUUAGAGCGAGACACGGAGCGCCCAGACCUUCCUGCCCUCUUUUUCCCUCGUUAGGACUUCUUCACACAACUUUGACUCCAUCACGUGAAACAAGAGGACACUGACACAGAGCUGGAGGAAGGGGAAAAAAAAGAGGAAAAAAAAAAAAACCCAGACAGGACCCUGAAAGAAGCUAUCACUGGCCGUCGGAGAGUAGCAGGUUAGUCAAAAUGUUAGCAAAAGGAGGCGAGCGGAAAUGAACGACGCAAAGAAAGUGUGUUUUGUUGUUUGCUUUUUGUAAUGAGGACGACAGCCGCGGUGAGGAUAAAGUCACUUGGUGUCUGGGUUUCUGUCGAAAGUUGUAAACAAAUGCAGCGGCACACAAGCACAAGCAGCAGUGUGGACAGACAUCACGUCAGGGCUUAUCUAACAACGCUGGGCUGAAUGGACACUGAGGAAUACUGAUGAAAAAACAAAGAACAAAAGUGACAAGAGCGACAGAGGGGCCACUCACCCCAGCACAGUGACACGACUCAAACAAAAACAACACACUCAUUAAAAAGCUGCUGAAUAUCAAUGUGAAGAAUGGGAGCUUAAAAGAAGAAAAAAACAUACACAUACAAACACACACACACACACACACACACACACACACACACACACACGCAGACACACCAACUCAUAAAGAUUUUUGUGUUCGGCUUUUGUGUUCAGUAAAAAUCUACUGGGAGUAAAGUUUUUUUUUUGUUUAAAAUACCCAAAAAAGGGGGAAGGAAGAACGAAGGAAGGAGAAAAAAAAGCCUUUGGUCAGUGCCAACUUACCAUCCACCAUGUCCUGGCUGAGAUGUCGUAGCAAAGCUGCCAUUUGAUGGAGCCCUCCGUGGUUUUGCUUGCCAUUAUGCUGUCAGCGAGCUUCAUCUGAUGCUAGUGCACUCACCGGAGAUAAGACACCUAAUUGAGAAAACAUUUGCACUGGCAUGUUGGGCAACAUGUAGCCCGCUCCAUACCAUAUGGAAUCAUGGGUAAAAAAAAAAAAAAAGCCUUGACAAUGAACCAAUCUGGAGCAGCCCCUGUGGCAAGAUCGUUCUGGACAGAGAUGGAGGCUGGAGACAACGCUCAGGAUGAGAAAGACCCCAUCAUGGCAUCAUAAUCAAGCACAUCUAAACUCUAUUUUCUCUUCAUAGUUUCAGUCCCAGUAAGUCGUAAAAUACUUUUUUUUUUGCCUCUAAGUGGAAUACGGGAAGAGGGUUUUAAGGUGACAAGUGCAUGAAAAGUUUUAUGCAGAAAUUCUGUCUUAAUUCUUUUUUUAGUAUUUAUCUUUCAAAAAAUAAAUUCAUUUAAAAAAUUACAAUUUACUCCACUAAUUUUAGAGAGGUCCAAGCUCUCUGUGAAUUGUACUGAACAGCCAUGCAGAAAGUGAGUAGAUGAGAUACUAAUACUCAAUACUGAGUGAGUUUUAGUCAAGUAUCUCUCCCAUCAUUUCAAAUGAUAAUUUAGCAGUAGGUGUGAUAUGACCACUGUGAGAGAUUUACAAGUAAAUCAGCUAAAGUAAAAGGAAGAAUGAACACACACUCUUCCUCCUCCUCCUCUCCCUCUCCCUCUCCAUGGUUGGGUUUGCUCCGAGACGGAAUACCUGAGCAGUCAGGGGAGAGCUGCUGUGACCAUCAAACAGUCCCCCCUUUGUCGACGUUACUCAGGAAUUUGAUUCGGUAUCCAGAUAUCCAAAAGGUAGGAGGAGAGAGAGAGGGAGCGAGGGAACAGGUAUGGCCGGUAUGACAUCUACACUAAAUCCAAAUGCAAAGACGGACAUCCAUGCUCCAGUUGACCCAGUUUUAUUUCUCCGCUAAUUUAGCCUGGUCCAGUCGCUUGUUGUGCAGGUUUUUAAAAAGUUUCAUGCUUCAUCUUAAGAGAUCAUUAUAAAGGCUACAAUUUGAAACAAAGUCAAACUAUAUUAAAAGAGUUGUUUACACCCAGAUUGAUUUGGUGUAUUUACAGUGCUUUAUAGAUCACAGAAUAUGAUAGACAAUAAAGUUGAGAGAAAUAAAUGUUUUUUUUUAAUUAUUUGUAAAUUAUACUUUUGGGCUUUUAAAAAAAACUUUCAAAAUAUUGGACAGUGACAAUAAUUGUAUUCAAUAUCACUUAAGUGGCAUUCAUUUAAUAUUUUUCCAUAGCAGUAAUGCCAUUUAACUUAUGUUGCAAAAUAUAUUUCAAACCCAAAUUAAUAUUAAAUUAUCAAAUUAUUAUUAAAUUAUUUUCUCGUUCUUUCUUUUCCGUUCCCUUCUCUUCCAGUCAGAAUCUACUGGUCCAUUUGACAGGUAUCCUUUAACCAAAUUCAUCUACUGGUCCAUUUGACAGGUUUGCUUUAACCAAAUUCAUCUACUGGUCCAUUUGACAGGAUUCCUUUAACCAAAUUCAUCUACUGGUCCAUUUGACAGGAUUCCUUUAACCAAAUUCAUCUACUGGUCCGUUUGACAGGAUUCCUUUAACCAAAUUCAUCUACUGGUCCGUUUGACAGGAUUCCUUUAACCAAAUUCAUCUACUGGUCCGUUUGACAGGAUUCCUUUAACCAAAUUCAUCUACUGGUCCAUUUGACAGGUUUCCUUUAACCAAAUGUAAAACCUCCAAACACUGAUGGCAAAAUUGACAAAUUCAUAUAAUGUCAGGAAACUUUUAAAAUGGCUAAAAUGAGCAAGCUUGACAAGCAAACUCCUAUGUCCGUAUUUGGUGGUGUCAGACCGUGUACUGCCCGUCUCCUGCGGGGGGAAGAGUCGUGGUUGGACACCUGAGAUGGAGGGGAAGACUACCACACCACGGUGAAAAUGAUUGCGGGACGCAGAUCUUUGGAACACAGUUCACAUGAACAUUGUGUAGUUGUACUUAGCAGAGCUGCUGUAGGAGGUCGUAGGGGUGCCGUUUACUGUACACACACCUCACGGGUCAGUGGAGGCCAGACUAACCUCUGCCACACGGACACAUGCUAACACACACACUCUUAACAGCACCGCUCUUUCUCUGUCUUUCACUCGGCAAAAAUGAGAAAAGCAGAGAGGUCAAGUACAGACAGUAAAAAUACUUACGAAUUCUGGGUUCUGUAUUUUAGAGUUGGUAGUUUGCUUUGUCUGAGAAUACUGAUUAAGGGUAUGACACAGAUUUAAAUUUUAAAUGGUAAGUUAACAAGCAAAGAAUUUUAACUUGUAUUACUCUCAACAUCUAAUGAAUGAAAAUGUGUUUUUUUUUCUAUAUGUAUUUGCAGGUUUGAUUUACUUAAAUGAAGGGAGCCUGCUUGCCUGACAGUCAACUGAAUUUUAAUUCCACUGUACCUUUUCUUGGAGUGUCCAGUAGAAGGCAGUGUUGCAUCGAUUUCAGGUUUUCCCCCAUUUCCUUCUCCUCACCUGAGGUUGUCAGAUGUCACUGUUUAGGAGUGUAGAAAGACAGGUACAUUACAUAGCUUCAACAGAAUGCAGCCUUUACAGAACAAACCUUGUCCCUUGGAUCUUUCUGGAAUUUUUUUUGACAUUCUAUGCGUUAUGGCAAUAUCUGAAUCCAUGGGAUAGCUAUCAUUGACCCCUCUUUGUCCCUUGCUCGCAAAACAAUCCAAGAUAAAUGCUACAAGAGAGGUAGUGUCCUGAAAAAAGACCAAAAAAAACAAUGAAUUCAGACAGAAAAUAUUAUUGCCAUUUGUGAUGAUAAUGAUUGUGAAAUCAUCAGUUCAAUCAGAUUAAUGUAGUGGUGGGUAGAUCAAGUCAGUGAACUGAAUAUCAAAGGAUGAUCAAUAUUUGGAAUCAUAUUUGAAGCGGGCAAUCACAUGGAAACUUUAAAAUGAAAUUAUUUUCAUUGUUCUUAUUUAAUGUUAUUUUCAUUGUUCUUAUUUAAGUCUACAAAUGAAACAGCAAAAGAAUGAAACACUAUUCCACUCUAUUCCAAGCUUUUUCUGUUUUCCCUUGGCUAAUGAGUGUCAGCAAGGCUGAAUUCUCGAGGCGCGCACCUCGUUUGUGAAACUCUGUCACUUCAUGCGCUUCUGCUUCCCGCUUCCCGGUGUCUCUCAGCGGGGACCACAGGGGCUGGCAAACACACACACUCACACAUUUUUUCAAUUCCUGCAGCAAUCCAAUAACUCACCAAAAUGUGUGGAGUCACUGGAAUCGCUUCCCUUUUGCUAACCAUAAUUCAGAAUACUGAAAAAAAACAUGAUUGUGGACAUCUGGUUCCUUUUCUGGCUUCAGUGAAACAGCUCUAGCCCUGGCAGAGAGCCCCGGUGCCACCCUCCAUGGCUCCGGCUGACAGAUGCAGAUCACAUCCACCACUAAAGAGGAGGGCCACUUCAGAGAACAAGAGAAUACAUUUACACACCACCAGUUUGACAAAAAGAGAUAUGUGAGGAUGAUGAUGGUGAUGAUGAUGAUAAUGAUAUGUUCUUGAUGUGAUGAAUAGAAUGCAAUGAUGCAAGGUAAAAGCAGACAUGGAAACAAUAUAUAGCCAUCCCCAAAACAGAUUUUUUGUUUUGUUCUGGGUUAUCUAACACCUGAAAAAACAACGUGUUUUUACAAUGGUUUAACUACAGACUACAGACUUUGGAUUUUGAUGUGUCCAUGCACGUUGUGGCAAACUGCGCUAAAAAAUAUCAGCAAAUAUCUGCAUCUGAUUUGGACCACUAACAUCAAAUCUGUAAAGCAAAACACUUUGAUUUACAAGUGAAAUUGCAUUCUGUGGUGUUUGGGUGUUCAGACAUUCUCCAACUGCAUACCUUCAUCUCACUGAGGUCUUCAGCUGGAAACUUCUUCCUGCUUUCCUGGCUAUCAAGUCCGAACGGACUUGCAGAACAUAAAAGGUUGUUAAACGGCAGAGGAGGGGAAGGCAUGGCACAAAACAAAUAUUUUUUCCUCAAUUGUAGUCAUGUUAGCAUACAUAUUAUAUUCAGCAUAGCGUAAACACUUCCUUUGAAGUCCCUGUGCUUUGGCCACAAAGUGGUCAUGGAGAUAUCAAAGCUUUCAGGGGGGAAGUCAUAGGACUGAGCAUGUUGGUUGACCGACCAUGCACCGACGGAGAGAGGACUGACGGGAACCAGAGUGUGAUGCAGUGGCCUUGGUCUCCCGCUCUCCCCUCCUCUUGAAAAUGAGCCUGAUCUGUUGUUGACUUUCCAUUUGACUGCAGUCUCUGGUCAAACGAGUUACAGAGCUGAGACACUAAUAGGGACCUGAUGCGCAAGUGUUCCACCGAUUAGAACCACACUGCAGCCGGUGCCAGGCCAGGCCAGGCCAGGCCUCCACUCUCCUGGGCACGAAAGCCAGCCGUACGCCUCCACUCUCCUGGGCA